rnacentral:rRNA from 1 species
AUUGAACGCUGGCGGCGUGCCUUACACAUGCAAGUCGAACGGCAGCGCGGACUUCGGUCUGGCGGCGAGUGGCGAACGGGUGAGUAAUACAUCGGAACGUACCCUGUUGUGGGGGAUAACUAGUCGAAAGAUUAGCUAAUACCGCAUACGACCUGAGGGUGAAAGUGGGGGACCGCAAGGCCUCACGCAGCAGGAGCGGCCGAUGUCUGAUUAGCUAGUUGGUGGGGUAAAGGCCCACCAAGGCGACGAUCAGUAGCUGGUCUGAGAGGACGAUCAGCCACACUGGGACUGAGACACGGCCCAGACUCCUACGGGAGGCAGCAGUGGGGAAUUUUGGACAAUGGGGGCAACCCUGAUCCAGCAAUGCCGCGUGUGUGAAGAAGGCCUUCGGGUUGUAAAGCACUUUUGUCCGGAAAGAAAUCGCGCUGGUUAAUACCUGGCGUGGAUGACGGUACCGGAAGAAUAAGCACCGGCUAACUACGUG